rnacentral:rRNA from 1 species
CCUACGGGAGGCUGCAGUGGGGAAUAUUGGACAAUGGGCGCAAGCCUGACCCAGCAACGCCGCGUGAGGGAAGAAGGCUUUCGGGUUGUAAACUUCUUUUCUGAGGGACGAAAAAAGUGACAGUACCUCAGGAAUAAGCCACGACUAACUACGUGCCAGCAGCCGCGGUAAUACGGAGGUGGCAAGCGUUAUGCGGAUUUAUUGGGUGUAAAGGGUGUGUAGGCGGGAAAGCAAGUCAGAUGUGAAAAGUAUGGGCUCAACCCAUAGCCUGCUUUUGAAACUGUAGUUCUUGAGUGCUGGAGAGGUAAUCGGAAUUCCGGGUGUAGCGGUGAAAUGCGUAGAGAUAAGGAGGAACACCAGUGGCGAAGGCGGAUUGCUGGACUGUAACUGACGCUGAGGCGCGAAAGCGUGGGGAGCAAACAGGAUUAGAUACCCGGGUAGUC